UUACGGCCAUAUAACGCUGUAACACCUGCUCUUGUACGCUCACCGAAGUUAAGCAACGUCGAGUCUGGUUAGUACCUAGAUGAGUGACCACUUGGGAAUA